AANCCGUUCAGGGGUAAACCUGAGAAACCCAAAAGGUCGAAUGGGGAGAUUCAUCGUCGACGGCGCUGGCUACCGUUGGUGCGCGAUGCUCCGGGUGGGCCCUUGCGGUUCCAUUAGCGUGUGGCACACCACCUUCGGAUCGAACGUUCCGGCGUCGUAGUCGUGCACUUCUCCCCUAGUAGGACGUCGCGACCCGUUGUGUGUCGGUCUACGGCCCGAGUGGGCGCCUGUCGCGUCGUUUCGGCGCACGCGGCAGACCCUCGGUCGCCCGGCCGGCUGCACGACGGUACACUCACGGUAUCGGGCCGCAACCAGUCCAUUCUCGAAUGUGUGUGCGUCCAACCCGCCGCAAGUUCGGUCAGUUCUUACCCGGAGGUACGGACCCUGUGCCGUCCCCGGGCCUGGCCAGCUGUUAGCAGGCGGUGUCCUCGGACUGGCCAAAUCUCAGAUUACCGGUCGGCGACGCUAUUGCUUUGGGUACUCUCAGGACCCGUCUUGAAACACGGACCAAGGAGUCUAACAUGUGCGCGAGUCAUUGGGAUGCAUAAACCUAAAGGCGAAAUGAAAGUGAAAGUCGGCCUUCGCGCCGAUCGAGGGAGGAUGGGCCGCGUAACCAUGCGGCCUCGCACUCCCGGGGCGUCUCGUUCUCAUUGCGAGAAGAGGCGCACCUAGAGCGUACACGUUGGGACCCGAAAGAUGGUGAACUAUGCCUGGUCAGGACGAAGUCAGGGGAAACCCUGAUGGAGGUCCGUAGCGAUUCUGACGUGCAAAUCGAUCGUCGGAACUGGGUAUAGGGGCGAAAGACUAAUCGAA
rnacentral:rRNA from 1 species